rnacentral:rRNA from 1 species
CGACCGGCGCACGGGUGAGUAACGCGUAUGCAACCUGCCCGAUACCGGGGUAUAGCCCAUGGAAACGUGGAUUAACACCCCAUAGUACUUUUAUCCUGCAUGGGACGUGAGUUAAAUGUUCAAGGUAUCGGAUGGGCAUGCGUCCUAUUAGUUAGUUGGCGGGGUAACAGCCCACCAAGACGAUGAUAGGUAGGGGUUCUGAGAGGAAGGUCCCCCACAUUGGAACUGAGACACGGUCCAA